GACGAACGCUGGCGGCGUGCUUAACACAUGCAAGUCGAACGGAAAGGCCCUGCUUUUGUGGGGUGCUCGAGUGGCGAACGGGUGAGUAACACGUGAGUAACCUGCCCUUGACUUUGGGAUAACUUCAGGAAACUGGGGCUAAUACCGGAUAGGAGCUCCUGCUGCAUGGUGGGGGUUGGAAAGUUUCGGCGGUUGGGGAUGGACUCGCGGCUUAUCAGCUUGUUGGUGGGGUAGUGGCUUACCAAGGCUUUGACGGGUAGCCGGCCUGAGAGGGUGACCGGCCACAUUGGGACUGAGAUACGGCCCAGACUCCUACGGGAGGCAGCGGUGGGGAAUAUUGCACAAUGGGCGGAAGCCUGAUGCAGCAACGCCGCGUGCGGGAUGACGGCCUUCGGGUUGUAAACCGCUUUCGCCUGUGACGAAGCGUGAGUGACGGUAAUGGGUAAAGAAGCACCGGCUACCUACGU
rnacentral:rRNA from 1 species